rnacentral:tRNA from 1 species
GUCCCCAUCGUCUAGCCAGGCCUAGGACACCGGCCUUUCACGCCGGCGACGGGGGUUCGAAUCCCCCUGGGGACG